rnacentral:rRNA from 1 species
CGUGUAGGCGGCUGAAUAAGUCAGAUGUGAAAUCCCUGGGCUUAACCCAGGACGUGCAUUUGAAACUAUUCAGCUUGAGUAGGGGAGAGGAAAGUGGAAUUCCUGGUGUAGAGGUGAAAUUCGUAGAUAUCAGGAGGAACACCGGUGGCGAAGGCGACUUUCUGGCCCUAUACUGACGCUGAGACGCGAGAGCGUGGGUAGCAAACAG